rnacentral:misc_RNA from 1 species
AAGUCGUAACAAGGUUUCCGUAGGUGAACCUGCGGAAGGAUCAUUAUUGAAUUAAUGUAGAGUUUGGUUGUAGCUGGUCCCUAAUUAACUUGGGGGCAUGUGCACACCUUUCUCUUUCAUCCCAUACACACCUGUGCACCUGUGAGACAGAUGUUUUCUAGGGGGGGAAGGAACUUUAUUGGAUCUACUCUCUUUGGACUUCUGUCUACUUAAUCUAUAUAAACUCAAUUUAUUUUAAAAUGAAUGUAAUGGAUGUAACACAUCUAAUACUAAGUUUCAACAACGGAUCUCUUGGCUCUC